GUGCUGGCUUUGGCAGCAUAUAUACUAAAAUUGGAACAACACAGAGAAAAUUAGCAUGGCCCCUGUGCAAGGAUGACAUGGAAAUUUGUGAAGCAUUCCAUAUGGGG
rnacentral:snRNA from 1 species